UAGACCCAAGAGACUAAAGUUGUGUCAUAGAACAAGAUAAAAAUGGGAAACAGACAUUCCAAUUUCCCCCACACUGUCUCACCAAUGUGCCUCAACCCAGGCCUGUGGGGACUUAUUCUAGAGAAAGAGAAAAGUUCAGUCUCUACCUUUGACUCCCUUUUGAUAGU
rnacentral:sRNA from 1 species